rnacentral:rRNA from 1 species
AUGCAGCAGCCACCAGGUUUUGAGGACGCUCGGUAUCCCUCUCAUGUGUGCAAGGUGCAGCGGGCUCUCUAUGGACUCGAACAGUCCCCUCGCGCAUGGUAUGCUCGGCUCAGUUCUCGUCUUCUCCAGUUGGGGUUUGUUCCCUCUCGCGCCGACGCCUCUUUGUUUUUCUUCCGCCAUCAGGAUGUUCAGAUAUACAUGCUUGUCUACGUGGAUGAUAUUGUUAUUGCUGGCUCUUCUCCACGUGCAGUUGACGGUCUUGUUCAUUCACUUGCAGGCACCUUUCCUAUUAAGGACCUUGGGCCGUUGGAGUACUUUCUUGGCUUGGAAGCGUCGUACAAUUCAGGGGGUAUGACCUUGACACAACGGAAGUAUGCCAUGGAUAUUUUACACCGUGUGAACAUGGAGAAUUGUAAGUCCACUUCCACACCGUUGUCUACCUCCGACCAGCUUGCACGGGUGUCUGGACAGCCUCUUGGUGCCGAUGAUUCUUUCCGGUAUCGCAGUGUCGUUGGUGGAUUGCAGUAUUUGACUCUCACUCGCCCAGACAUUUCAUUUGCAGUGAACAAGGUAUGCCAGUUUCUCUCACAGCCCACUGAUGUUCAUUGGGAAGCUGUUAAGCGCAUCCUGCGCUAUGUAAAUGGAACAUUGCAAACUGGACUGAAGUUUCGGAAGGCUGUCCCCAACAGCACUAGUAUUUUCACUGACGCAGACUGGGCCGGGUGUCCUGAUGAUCGACGAUCCACUGGAGGCUUUGCCAUCUUUGUUGGCCCAAAUCUCAUCUCAUGGAGCUCUAAGAAGCAACCGAUGGUGUCGAGAUCUAGUACGGAGGCUGAGUACAAGGCUUUGGCAAAUGGAGCUGCUGAGGCCAUUUGGGUAGAAUCACUACUCAAGGAGCUUGGUGUUUCCCAGCAGCGUGUUCCUGUUCUAUGGUGUGAUAAUUUAGGAGCCACAUAUCUGACUGCCAACCCAGUUUUUCAUGCACGCACCAAGCACAUUGAGAUUGAUUUCCACUUUGUGCGUGAGCGUGUUGCUUCUGGAGCUCUUGAUGCCAGGUUCAUUUCUUCUAAUGAUCAGCUGGCUGACGUGUUUACCAAACCAGCCACUCGACAGAUGCUAGACCGUUUUAGUACCAAUCUAAACCUUGUACAGAGUAGAAGUUCAGAUUGA